rnacentral:rRNA from 1 species
UGGGGUAUAUUGGACAAUGGGCGAAAGCCUGAUCCAGCCAUGCCGCGUGUGUGAAGAAGGUCUUCGGAUUGUAAAGCACUUUAAGUUGGGAGGAAGGGCAGUAAGCGAAUACCUUGCUGUUUUGACGUUACCGACAGAAUAAGCACCGGCUAACUCUGUGCCAGCAGCCGCGGUAAUACAGAGGGUGCAAGCGUUAAUCGGAAUUACUGGGCGUAAAGCGCGCGUAGGUGGUUCGUUAAGUUGAAUGUGAAAGCCCCGGGCUCAACCUGGGAACUGCAUCCAAAACUGGCGAGCUAGAGUAGGGCAGAGGGUGGUGGAAUUUCCUGUGUAGCGGAGAAAUGCGUAGAUAUAGGAAGGAACACCAGUGGCGAAGGCGACCACCUGGGCUCAUACUGACACUGAGGUGCGAAAGCGUGGGGAGCAAACAGG